rfam:Crassostrea gigas strain 05x7-T-G4-1.051#20 contig11568, whole genome shotgun sequence.
AUGCCCUUUCCUCGGAUGGGUGUGUGUCUAUUCCAUGUUGAAAAUGGCCAUGACUAGAUCCACACUCAUCCAAGAGGAGGGAAA